rnacentral:rRNA from 1 species
UACGAGGGGGGCGAGCGUUGUUCGGAAUUAUUGGGCGUAAAGGGUGCGUAGGCGGGUUUCUAAGUCAGAGGUGAAAGCCUGGAGCUCAACUCCAGAACUGCCUUUGAUACUGGAAGUCUUGAGUAUGGCAGAGGUGAGUGGAACUGCGAGUGUAGAGGUGAAAUUCGUAGAUAUUCGCAAGAACACCAGUGGCGAAGGCGGCUCACUGGGCCAUUACUGACGCUGAGGCACGAAAGCGUGGGGAGCAAACAGG